rnacentral:tRNA from 1 species
GGGCAUGUGGCGGAAUUGGCAGACGCAUACGACUCAAAAUCGUACGAGCUUACGCUCAUGAGGGUUCAACUCCCUCCUUGCCCACCA